UUAUGGAACCUUGUAUUCUGUUGAAUACCAGAAUUAUAUCAGCAAUCCCCAAGUCACCAAAUGGGCAUCAUCAUGACAGCAGAUGGAAUUCGCUGUUUCGCCCAGGCUGGAGUGAAGUGGCGCGAUGUGGGCUCACUGCAACCUCCGCCCCCAGGGUUCAAGGGAUUCUCCUGCCUCAGCCACCAUGAUUUAACACUGAGAAGUAGGCAGUCACAGAGAAAAAGUUUGGAAUAGUUCACCAGUGAAGUCAUCUCAACCAGCACAGGGCCUUGACUCCUAACAACAAUCACACGAACUUGGAAGAGGAUCCUUCCCCAGCUGAAACUUCACUUGAGACCUUCUCAUUGGCCAUCAUCGACAUCUGGAUUCAUGAUACAGAGAAACUGUGAGUAAGAGCCACUUAGUAUGUGAGAAUUUAUUAUUCAGUAAUAAAUAAUACACCUGGCAG
rnacentral:lncRNA from 10 species